GAACGCUGGCGGCAUGGCUAAAACAUGCAAGUCGAACGUGCCCGCAAGGGCAAGUGGCGAAAGGGUCAGUAACGCGAUCGAAUGUACCUAUGGGUUGAGGAUAGCCGUGGGAAACUGCGGGUAAUACUCGAUGAUGUCUCCGGACCAAAGAUUUAUCGCCCUAAGAGCAGCGAUCGUCCUAUCAGGUAGUUGGCGGGGUAAAGGCCCACCAAGCCUAAGACGGGUAGCAGGUGUGAGAGCACGACCUGCGACAUCGGGACUGAGACACUGCCCGGACUCCUACGGGAGGCUGCAGUAACGAAUCUUCCGCAAUGGGCGCAAGCCUGACGGAGCAAUGCCGCGUGUGGGAUGAAGCGGCUACGCCGUGUAAACCACUGUCAGGGACUAGAACCAAUGAUCAGUCCCAAAGGAAGAGCCGGCUAACCCUGUGCCAGCAGCCGCGGUAAUACAGGGGGCUCGAGCGUUAAUCGGAAUCACUGGGCUUAAAGGGUGCGUAGGUGGCUUGCCAAGCGU
rnacentral:rRNA from 1 species